ACCCAGAUACUUUCUUCUCUCUCUGUCUCUCUAUCCUCGUAUAUUAUCUCAACUCUCACCUAAAAUCUCACGCACAUUCCAUUUUCCCGCCCUCCUCUUAAGCAUGACAAAAGCUAUCGUUCUCUUGCUUAUGGUUUUUCUCCCCCACAAUCGCAGUUUGACCCUUCAAAUGACGUUUCGCAUUGUUCCGUUCCUUGCGAGAUUUCUAUUCUUCUUCCUUCUGGUCUCUGUGCCUUUUUCUUGCAGGUCUUCAAGCAAUGGAAGUACACAGAUGGAGAAAACAUUGGCUAUGAUAAAACCAGACGGAGUGAUCGGCAAUUACACUGAUAGGAUAAAGAAUGCCAUUUUGGGGUCUGGUUUCAGCAUUCUCAAGGAAACGAUUGUUCAACUUGAUGAGGACAGUGCAGCAAGCUUUUAUGCUGAACAUUCUACAAAGAGCUUCUAUUCUAGCCUUGUCAAAUAUAUAACGAGUGGUCCAGUGUUGGUUAUGGUUUUGGAGAAGGAAAAUGCUAUUGCUGAUUGGCGUGCUCUAAUUGGGCCAACUGAUGCGCACAAGGCUAAGAUUACUCAUCCUCACAGCAUCCGAGCAAUGUGUGGUCUAGAUUCGGAAAAGAAUUGUGUUCAUGGUUCAGAUUCUACUCAAUCAGCUCAAAGAGAAAUCUUGUUCUUCUUUAAAGACGUGUUUGCAGGUCUUGCUUGUAUGGGGAAGAGAAGAAGGUUCAAUGUGCGGAUAUGAACAUCAAUUUGGUGAACUGAAACUAGAAGGCCUUGACUUCCAUAAGACCCUCGUGUGGAGGAGCUACUGAACAUGACGAACUGUAACUGAUGGUCCAUUCUUCAUCAAACAACUGCCUCAGAAGUAAAGGUAAAUUUUGAUUUGUUGGGGGUUGGGAUUUGGGGAGAUGAAGAUACAGAGAAGGGGGCGUUUGGGUUUUUGUUUUUUUUUUUUCUUCAAUUUUUUUAAUACCUAAUUUUGUUAAUAAAAAAACUAUCGUGAAAAUGAAAAUGUUAAGUUGUUGUAGUAGUUUCCAUGUAGGAUGAUGCCAUGUCAGUGUGUAGAAGCAUUGUAGUAAAAAGGAUAGUAUCUUUAGCAUUUUCCUAA